rnacentral:snRNA from 1 species
AAAUUGAGGGUAACAUAACUGUGAUGUCUGUCACUGCAUGUCCAGGGUUGAUUUGCGUGGUCUGGCUGGCUGUGGGAGUGUCCCUGUCCUCCCUCCCUGCUCCAUGUGUGUCCUUCUAAAGCCACAUGCUCAGUGGAAGAGAAUGACCUUCCCUGAGAGCGAAGGUCUCUUUGGUUGAGAAUACGAGUAGAGUACUUUUCUGCUAGAACCUUUCAACAAGCUCUCAAGCUCAGUAAGAGUAGAGUACUUUCCUGCUAAGCUAGAACCAUGCAGCAAGCUCCCUGGGAGAAUGGAGGGUAGUCAAGCUUCCAUGAUUCCAUACAUAUCCAAAUGAGGUGCUGAGUGGCAGUCUACUUAUAAGA